AUGCACGCUGGCGGCGUGCCUAAUACAUGCAAGUCGAGCGAACAGACGAGGAGCUUGCUCCUCUGACGUUAGCGGCGGACUGGUGAGUAACACGUGGAUAACCUACCUAUAAGACUGGGAUAACUUCGGGAAACCGGAGCUAAUACCGGAUAAUAUAUUGAACCGCAUGGUUCAAUAGUGAAAGACGGUUUUGCUGUCACUUAUAGAUGGAUCCGCGCCGCAUUAGCUAGUUGGUAAGGUAACGGCUUACCAAGGCAACGAUGCGUAGCCGACCUGAGAGGGUGAUCGGCCACACUGGAACUGAGACACGGUCCAGACUCCUACGGGAGGCAGCAGUAGGGAAUCUUCCGCAAUGGGCGAAAGCCUGACGGAGCAACGCCGCGUGAGUGAUGAAGGUCUUCGGAUCGUAAAACUCUGUUAUUAGGGAAGAACAAAUGUGUAAGUAACUAUGCACGUCUUGACGGUACCUAAUCAGAAAGCCACGGCUAACUACGUG
rnacentral:rRNA from 1 species